rfam:Trichobilharzia regenti genome assembly, scaffold: TRE_scaffold0010381
GUACUGCUGAAGAGCCCCAAACUAGGACGAAACGGCUGUCUAGUAC